CACGGGGGGAGCAAGCGUUGUUCGGAAUCACUGGGCGUAAAGGGCGUGUAGGCGGUCAUGUAAGUGGGAUGUGAAAGCCCUCGGCUCACCCGAGGAUCUGCAUCUCAAACUGCAUGGCUUGAGUAUGGGAGAGGAUGUGGGAAUUCCUGGUGUAGCGGUGAAAUGCGUAGAUAUCAGGAGGAACACCGGUGGCGAAGGCGCUCAUCUGGCCCAAUACUGACGCUGAGGCGCGAAAGCUAGGGGAGCAAACGGG
rnacentral:rRNA from 1 species